rnacentral:lncRNA from 1 species
CAGAAAUUCCUUAAGAUGAGAAAAAGUGCCUACAACAAUAAUCCUAAUUAACUGGAAAAAAGAAAAGCAUAGAAAGUGCCUACAAUCGUAAAUACACAAUUGCACAAUUAUAAUCGAAAAGCCCCAGCAACCCUAAAUCACUAGAAAUACUGAUGGAGCCAACCUAUUGCACGGAGUAAUUUCUGCAGUCAAAGGAACAGAAAAUAAAUGUUAGAAUAAAUUCUUGAUUGAAGAGAAAGUGGGCCAUAGAGGAACAGAAAAUUAAUAGGAAAAUUGAUGGACAGAUUCCAAAAAUAUGUCUCUUAUUUUACGCCCCAAGUAAAAUCAUACACUAAAUUUAAAACCUUGUCCAGACAAGUCAAAUCAAUAACCGUAAAAUUCCAUGCAUAGUUGAAGAAUAGAGAUUGGAGAUUGGAUAAGAAUGAUUUAUUUGGGUUUAAGAAUUUAUUAUAAAGAUCGAAAAUUGGAGAACGAUUUGUUUUGGGACUUGCGUUCUUCCCAUUUUGUUAAUGUUUGUAAGAGGAUUAAGAGAGGGAAAAAAAUACAAAAGGUAAAUACAGAAUUGAAACCGAAAAAAAAUAUAUAUAUAGAAAACUUUGUCAGGUCACUUGACUCCACACGACCACAGGUUGAUCCGCCCCUGUAAAUAGCUCACACCAAAAAAAAGAAAAAAAGAAAAAAAAAUUCUCUCUAACUUCAGGCAAUUUCAGCACCCAUAGGCAAUUUUAGCACCCAUAGUGACCACGACUAGUACAUUUCCCAAGAUCCACAAUCGGACCAUAAACUACUUCACCUGAUUGUCUAUGAUGCAGCUAUCUGUCAGCACAAGUCGGAAACAUCUAAAGUGACCCACUAUACUAGAUGUUGUAGGGAUGUCUCGAACAAUUUGUGAGGGUGUCGAGAUUUCUCAUCUUAAUGGCAAACCAAACUUGUGAAGGGCCAACACAACCUGCUUCCUCAUCACCUCUCCCUCUCUGCCUAAUUUGUAAGUACUCAACACUGAGAUAUAUGGACCAAAUUUUGGAUUGCAGUUGAC